rnacentral:misc_RNA from 1 species
AAGUCGUAACAAGGUUUCCGUAGGUGAACCUGCGGAAGGAUCAUUAACAAAUCUAACACAUAUGUUACCUGUGUGAACGUUCGAGGUGGCGGCCGAGAGACCCAGCGAAGGGGGUGGUGUAUAUCAUCAAGCCCCCGGAACGGCGUCGACGACGCCGCCACUCUCACCUCUUCGUAUACUAUAUUGAUUGUCAGAUGGUUGGAGAUGGAAUGUAGACAACUUUUAACAAUGGAUCUCUUGGCUCUU